CGGGUGAGUAAUGUAUGGGGAUCUGCCUGAUGGCGGGGGAUAACUACUGGAAACGGUAGCUAAUACCGCAUAAUGUCUACGGACCAAAGCGGGGGACCUCCGGGCCUCGCGCCAUCAGAUGAACCCAUAUGGGAUUAGCUAGUAGGUAAGGUAACGGCUUACCUAGGCGACGAUCCCUAGCUGGUCUGAGAGGAUGAUCAGCCACACUGGGACUGAGACACGGCCCAG
rnacentral:rRNA from 1 species